GACGAACGCUGGCGGCGUGCCUAAAACAUGCAAGUCGAACGAGGUAGCAAUACCUAGUGGCGAACGGGUGCGUAACACGUGACCAACCUGCCCUCGUGUGGGGGAUAGCCGGGCUAACGCCCGGGUAAUACCGCAUACGGUCCCUGAGAGGAGUCUCUUGGGGAAGAAAGCUCCGGCGCACGGGGAGGGGGUCGCGGCCUAUCAGCUAGUUGGCGAGGUAAUAGCUCACCAAGGCGACGACGGGUAGCUGGUCUGAGAGGAUGGCCAGCCACAUUGGGACUGAGAGACGGCCCAGACUCCUACGGGAGGCAGCAGUGGGGAAUCUUGCGCAAUGGCCGAAAGGCUGACGCAGCGACGCCGCGUGUGGGAGGACGCCUUUCGGGU
rnacentral:rRNA from 1 species